AGCAGUAGCCGCGGUAAUACGUAGGUGGCAAGCGUUGUCCGGAAUUAUUGGGCGUAAAGCGCGCGCAGGCGGAUAGGUCAGUCUGUCUUAAAAGUUCGGGGCUUAACCCCGUGAUGGGAUGGAAACUGCCAAUCUAGAGUAUCGGAGAGGAAAGUGGAAUUCCUAGUGUAGCGGUGAAAUGCGUAGAUAUUAGGAAGAACACCAGUGGCGAAGGCGACUUUCUGGACGAAAACUGACGCUGAGGCGCGAAAGCCAGGGGAGCGAACGGGAUUAGAGACCCCCGUAGUCCCUGUCUCUUAUACA
rnacentral:rRNA from 1 species